rnacentral:tRNA from 1 species
GGGGGUAUAGCUCAGGGGUAGAGCGCUCGCUUUGCAUGCGAGAAGUCUG